UAGGGAAUCUUCGGCAAUGGGGGGAACCCUGACCGAGCAACGCCGCGUGAGUGAAGAAGGUUUUCGGAUCGUAAAGCUCUGUUGUUAAGGAAGAACGAGUGUGAGAAUGGAAAGUUCAUGCUGUGACGGUACCUAACCAGAAAGCCACGGCUAACUACGUGCCAGCAGCCGCGGUAAUACGUAGGUGGCAAGCGUUGUCCGGAAUUAUUGGGCGUAAAGCGCGCGCAGGUGGUUUAGAAAGUCUGAUGUGAAAGCCCACGGCUCAACCGUGGAGGGUCAUUGGAAACUAAUAAACUUGAGUGCAGGAGAGAAAAGUGGAAUUCCUAGUGUAGCGGUGAAAUGCGUAGAGAUUAGGAGGAACACCGGUGGCGAAAGCGGCUUUUUGGCCUGCAACAGACACUGAGGCGCGAAAGCGUGGGGAGCAAACAGG
rnacentral:rRNA from 1 species